rnacentral:lncRNA from 1 species
UAUAUAAGAUAGUUAUUAUCUGAUCUACCAGGAUGUGGCGUUUUAUAUAACGACCAAACCCACUAAUAACAAUAACUCGUUGGGCCCAAACACCGGCCCAAAAUGCUUAAGUCUAGUUAUUAUUACUAGUGUCUAAGUUUCUUAUAAACCCAUUGACAACCCCAUUCUCAUCUAAACUUUCCUCGUUAAGGCCCUGAUGUUCUCGUCAGUCCAAUCACACACACAGCCGAAGAUCAACAUGCGAUGUGAGACUCGUCUCGCUAGUCCGUCAUCCAGACCCUGACUCAGCCGAGACUUACCACACAUGUCCAACUGGUGAACCGGCUCUGAUACCAAAUGUAACGAUCCAGCUCACUAGCAAUAAUAACUCGUUGGGCCCAACCACUUGCCAAAAAAAAUAUUUAAGUCCAGUUAUCAUUACUAGUGUCUAAGUCUCUUAUAAACCCAAUGACAACUCCAUUCUCAUCCGAUGUGAGACUAUUGAGGUGUCAUAUUU